AUUAAUAAGCGGAGGAAAAGAAACCAACCGGGAUUCCCUGAGUAAGGGCGACUGAAACGGGACCUAGCCCAGCGCAUAACCUCGCGGUUCGGGCAGAGCCGACGAGGGGUGUUGCGUAUCGGUGGAUCCGUCCCGCCCGUGCCCUACCGCCUAAGUCCAAGUAGGAAUACAGCCCCGUGGAGGGUGAGAGGCCCGUGUGGCGGCGCCCGCAAGGGCUACUAGGGCGCGAGCGGAGGGAUCGCUUCACCGGAGAGUCGGGUUGCUUAAUACUGCAGCCCUAAGAGAGGUGGUAAACUCCAUCUAAGGCUAAAUAUAACCACGAGUCCGAUAGGAGACAAGUACCGUGAGGGAAAGUUGAAAAGGACUUUGAAGAGAGAGUUCAACAGUACGUGAAGCCGUUAGAAGCCUAAACGGGUGGAACCGCGAAGGUCGAACGAGGGCACUCACCUCGUCGGGCGGGCGGGACUCGGGGCGCUCCGACAGGCCGGCGCCGAAGCCUAUUAUAACCGAUUAGAGCGCAGGAGCACCCCGUCCGUCGCGUCCCGUUCCGGCGGGCGUAAUUGUCCCUCUAGUAGCACACGCCGCGAGCCGUGGCGGGGACCGCGGGCCCACACAGCUCGGAUUGGUACCCUCUGUCCGGAGGGGAAACCGUUGGCUGGGAAGCAGUCGGUGACCCUGCCACGGCAUGGCCCAGGGGCAGCUGCCACCUAGGUGGCUGCCUCGCGGCGGAGAACGAAGUCGGUGAUCCACCUGA
rnacentral:rRNA from 1 species